rnacentral:lncRNA from 1 species
CCCAGUCUCAACUCUAUUUUUACUUCACAGAAGGAUGAAAAUCUGCUCUCUGCAUUCCCUCAGCACAGAAGAACCUGGUUUGGUGCUUUGCCGUUCAUUAUACGUUACCUUUACAUAGGUGGUUUCACAUAUAUUCGUCUUCAAUUGGUUGCAUAUUGUGGGUCUGCAUUCAUUUGCAUGUUUUACAAGAGUUUGACCUGCGACUCAACAUCCCACGGGAUGUAACUGAAGUGGUAAAAUGGCCCAGCUGUUUCUUUUCCAGAUGGAGGAAGAAGCCACAGGCCAAGAACGCUGCUGGCCUCCAGCAGCUGGAAAAGGCAAGGAAACAGAUUCUCCCCUAAGUCCUCCGGAAGCAACGCAGCCCUGCUGACACCUCGAUUUCGGCCUGACACAGAAGAUCGACAAGAGGGUUUGGAGAACCUAAAAGUUGGCCAAGCCACCAGACAGAAGGAGACUGGGGCUCUGAAUCUCUGCGCAAUGGCCUUCAUCGAACAUCUGAUUGGUCUGUGACCUGAGAAAGGAAUGAAGGUUUUACCAUGUUACGUCACUGAAAUUUGAGGGCUGUUGGUAAAGCCGUUAAAAAACUUUGACUAAUAUAAACUCAAAUUGUGGGCAAAGUA